UGGGUCUAAUACCGGAUAUGACUCCUCAUCGCAUGGUGGGGGGUGGAAAGCUUUUGUGGUUUUGGAUGGACUCGCGGCCUAUCAGCUUGUUGGUGGGGUAAUGGCCUACCAAGGCGACGACGGGUAGCCGGCCUGAGAGGGUGACCGGCCACACUGGGACUGAGACACGGCCCAGACUCCUACGGGAGGCAGCAGUGGGGAAUAUUGCACAAUGGGCGCAAGCCUGAUGCAGCGACGCCGCGUGAGGGAUGACGGCCUUCGGGUUGUAAACCUCUUUCAGUAGGGAAGAAGCGAAAGUGACGGUACCUGCAGAAGAAGCGCCGGCUAACUACGUGCCAGCAGCCGCGGUAAUACGUAGGGCGCAAGCGUUAUCCGGAAUUAUUGGGCGUAAAGAGCUCGUAGGCGGUUUGUCGCGUCUGCUGUGAAAGACCGGGGCUCAACUCCGGUUCUGCAGUGGGUACGGGCAGACUAGAGUGCAGUAGGGGAGACUGGAAUUCCUGGUGUAGCGGUGAAAUGCGCAGAUAUCAGGAGGAACACCGAUGGCGAAGGCAGGUCUCUGGGCUGUAACUGACGCUGAGGAGCGAAAGCAUGGGGAGCGAACAGGAUUAGAUACCCUGGUAGUCCAUGCCGUAAACGUUGGGCACUAGGUGUGGGGGACAUUCCACGUUUUCCGCGCCGUAGCUAACGCAUUAAGUGCCCCGCCUGGGGAGUACGGCCGCAAGGCUAAAACUCAAAGGAAUUGACGGGGGCCCGCACAAGCGGCGGAGCAUGCGGAUUAAUUCGAUGCAACGCGAAGAACCUUACCAAGGCUUGACAUGAACCGGUAAUACCUGGAAACAGGUGCCCCGCUUGCGGUCGGUUUACAGGUGGUGCAUGGUUGUCGUCAGCUCGUGUCGUGAGAUGUUGGGUUAAGUCCCGCAACGAGCGCAACCCUCGUUCUAUGUUGCCAGCGCGUUAUGGCGGGGACUCAUAGGAGACUGCCGGGGUCAACUCGGAGGAAGGUGGGGACGACGUCAAAUCAUCAUGCCCCUUAUGUCUUGGGCUUCACGCAUGCUACAAUGGCCGGUACAAAGGGUUGCGAUACUGUGAGGUGGAGCUAAUCCCAAAAAGCCGGUCUCAGUUCGGAUUGGGGUCUGCAACUCGACCCCAUGAAGUCGGAGUCGCUAGUAAUCGCAGAUCAGCAACGCUGCGGUGAAUACGUUCCCGGGCCUUGUACACACCGCCCGUCAAGUCAC
rnacentral:rRNA from 1 species